rnacentral:rRNA from 1 species
UACGGAGGGUGCGAGCGUUGUCCGGAAUCAUUGGGCGUAAAGGGCGCGUAGGUGGCCCCUCAAGCGUGCGGUGAGAGUCAGGGGCUCAACCCCGUGAUCGGCCGUGCGAACUGGGGAGCUUGAGCACUGUAGAGGCAGGCGGAAUUCCGGGUGUAGCGGUGGAAUGCGUAGAGAUCCGGAAGAACACCGGUGGCGAAGGCGGCCUGCUGGGCAGUUUUGCUGCACUGAGCGCGACGAGCGUGGGAGCAACAGGAUAGAAACCUAGUAG